CACGGAGGACCUGGGAAUCCUACUGAUUCAGGAACCGUGGACCUACAGAGGCCAGGUGAGGGGCCUCAAUCAUAACAACAAUAAGAAUUUCUUACACAGGAUCUGGUAGCGGUCCAAGCUACCUUAAGGGUCAACGGGAAGGAACUGGAGGUGGUCUUGGCUGCAGCCUACUUUCCGGGGGACAACGCCAACGUGCCGCCUCUUGAGGUACAGCAGCUGCUGGAAUUUUGCCGCAGGAAACGACUUCCGGCGAUUCUCGGCUGCGAUGCGAACGCCCACAAUAUAGAGUGGGGCAGCUCGGACACAAACCGUAGGGGUGAGUGCUUAUUAGAAUAUAU